UUCGGCUGUCACUUACAGAUGGACCCGCGGCGCAUUAGCUAGUUGGUGAGGUAACGGCUCACCAAGGCGACGAUGCGUAGCCGACCUGAGAGGGUGAUCGGCCACACUGGGACUGAGACACGGCCCAGACUCCUACGGGAGGCAGCAGUAGGGAAUCUUCCGCAAUGGACGAAAGUCUGACGGAGCAACGCCGCGUGAGUGAUGAAGGUUUUCGGAUCGUAAAGCUCUGUUGUUAGGGAAGAACAAGUGCAAGAGUAACUGCUUGCACCUUGACGGUACCUAACCAGAAAGCCACGGCUAACUACGUGCCAGCAGCCGCGGUAAUACGUAGGUGGCAAGCGUUGUCCGGAAUUAUUGGGCGUAAAGGGCUCGCAGGCGGUUUCUUAAGUCUGAUGUGAAAGCCCCCGGCUCAACCGGGGAGGGUCAUUGGAAACUGGGAAACUUGAGUGCAGAAGAGGAGAGUGGAAUUCCACGUGUAGCGGUGAAAUGCGUAGAGAUGUGGAGGAACACCAGUGGCGAAGGCGACUCUCUGGUCUGUAACUGACGCUGAGGAGCGAAAGCGUGGGGAGCGAACAGGAUUAGAUACCCUGGUAGUCCACGCCGUAAACGAUGAGUGCUAAGUGUUAGGGGGUUUCCGCCCCUUAGUGCUGCAGCUAACGCAUUAAGCACUCCGCCUGGGGAGUACGGUCGCAAGACUGAAACUCAAAGGAAUUGACGGGGGCCCGCACAAGCGGUGGAGCAUGUGGUUUAAUUCGAAGCAACGCGAAGAACCUUACCAGGUCUUGACAUCCUCUGACAACCCUAGAGAUAGGGCUUUCCCUUCGGGGACAGAGUGACAGGUGGUGCAUGGUUGUCGUCAGCUCGUGUCGUGAGAUGUUGGGUUAAGUCCCGCAACGAGCGCAACCCUUGAUCUUAGUUGCCAGCAUUCAGUUGGGCACUCUAAGGUGACUGCCGGUGACAAACCGGAGGAAGGUGGGGAUGACGUCAAAUCAUCAUGCCCCUUAUGACCUGGGCUACACACGUGCUACAAUGGACAGAACAAAGGGCUGCGAGACCGCAAGGUUUAGCCAAUCCCACAAAUCUGUUCUCAGUUCGGAUCGCAGUCUGCAACUCGACUGCGUGAAGCUGGAAUCGCUAGUAAUCGCGGAUCAGCAUGCCGC
rnacentral:rRNA from 1 species